UACGGAGGGUGCAAGCGUUAAUCGGAAUCACUGGGCGUAAAGCGCGCGUAGGCGGCUUUGUAAGUCAGAGGUGAAAGCCCACGGCUUAACCGUGGAACUGCCUUUGAUACUGCUUUGCUUGAGUGAGUGAGAGGAUAGUGGAAUUCCUGGUGUAGGAGUGAAAUCCGUAGAGAUCAGGAGGAACAUCAGUGGCGAAGGCGACUGUCUGGCACUCUACUGACGCUGAGGUGCGAAAGCGUGGGUAUCAAACAGG
rnacentral:rRNA from 1 species